GAGUAACACGUGGGUAACCUGCCCAUAAGACUGGGAUAACUCCGGGAAACCGGGGCUAAUACCGGAUAACAUUUUGAACCGCAUGGUUCGAAAUUGAAAGGCGGCUUCGGCUGUCACUUAUGGAUGGACCCGCGUCGCAUUAGCUAGUUGGUGAGGUAACGGCUCACCAAGGCAACGAUGCGUAGCCGACCUGAGAGGGUGAUCGGCCACACUGGGACUGAGACACGGCCCAGACUCCUACGGGAGGCAGCAGUAGGGAAUCUUCCGCAAUGGACGAAAGUCUGACGGAGCAACGCCGCGUGAGUGAUGAAGGCUUUCGGGUCGUAAAACUCUGUUGUUAGGGAAGAACAAGUGCUAGUUGAAUAAGCUGGCACCUUGACGGUACCUAACCAGAAAGCCACGGCUAACUACGUGCCAGCAGCCGCGGUAAUACGUAGGUGGCAAGCGUUAUCCGGAAUUAUUGGGCGUAAAGCGCGCGCAGGUGGUUUCUUAAGUCUGAUGUGAAAGCCCACGGCUCAACCGUGGAGGGUCAUUGGAAACUGG
rnacentral:rRNA from 1 species